rnacentral:rRNA from 1 species
GGGCUAUAUUUUGAAGUUAUUGGAGAUUAGAUUAUUACGAUUGGCUGUCAUGGUUGGUUGUGAUGGUUUAGUUAAAGAUGAUGGAGGGGUGUAGGCAGCUGUCAAAGGCUGUGCUGUAUACAAUUAACAGCUAAUUUAGAACUGUUACUGACCAGGGGAAUCCGACUGUUUAAUUAAAACAAAGCAUUGUGAUGUUCUCAAUAAGGAUUUUAACACAAUGUGAUUUCUGCCCAGUGCUCUGAAUGUCAAAGUGAAGAAAUUCAAAACAAGCGCGGGUAAACGGCGGGAGUAACUAUGACUCUCUUAAGGUAGCCAAAUGCCUCGUCAUCUAAUUGUGACGCGCAUGAAUGGAUCAACGAGAUUCCCAUGUCCCUACUUACUAUCUGGUGAAACCGCAGCC